AGGACAUGGAGAAGAGGAUCGCCUUGCUGGAGACCAAGCUCGAGACUCUGCUGAGCAACCUGCAGGCUCUGCCUGCGCUCAUCAGCCAGGCCAAAGCAAGUAUUUGUGGGGGUUCACUGUACUGAGAAUGACAUUCUGAAGAUGUCAACAGAGAUGAAAUAUACGUUGCCCAAUUUGAACCAAAUAUCUUAGUUUCUUUUCUCGCAACUCGGAACUACUUCUGACACUUCUUCACUCACCAGUAAGAAAUUAUUUUUCCGCGGCGAGUAAACCCAGGUUGGUCAGUCACUCCUGUGACAGCGAAGAUCUGAAACUUGAGUUUUUUUUUAUUCAUUUCGGUCUUGAAAAAUUUCACAAUUAGUUUGUGGUGUAUUCAUCUGCAACCGGGCGCGCAGUCGAUUGACUUGUUAGUCUCUCAACACGAUGGAGAUCUUAAGAACAUCCAAUGCUGUAAUUUGGGCUGUGUGAAAAAUGGUGGAAUUAAUAUGACUUUACACGCAGCCCCAAUUACACCAGGAGCAUAAUUAACCACACUAGGGCGUUUUAUUGUGAUCAAGUUCGGAUGGGGUGCGGCACGCAAUAACACAAUCCACGCAAUAAUAAGAUCCUCUGGCGACGUUCCAGAAA